AAGGACUAACUAUAAAAGAUCGAUGGAAUUAAAAAAUCAGUAGAAUCGUUAAGGUUGUUUGAAGAUUGAACGAUAUGGAUAUUUCUAAAAUUGCCUUUACUGCAGCAAUGGCGUUGCUGGCUUUAUUUGGAAUGGUCAAUGCUGCACCAGCAGAGGACAAAUCAUUCUGGGCAGUGCCACCUAAGGGAUUGGAUCAUUGGAAAGAGGUGUUGGGAAGCUAAAUGAAUCUAUUUUGACCAAAGAACGGCUACUAUCACAAUGUUUUAACAAGUAAAUGCAUGCAAUUCAUUCA